AGAGUUUGAUCAUGGCUCAGAACGAACGCUGGCGGCGUGGAUAAGACAUGCAAGUCGAACGAGAUUUUUCGUUGUAGCAAUACGAUGGAACGUCUAGUGGCGAACGGGUGCUUAACACGUGGGCAACCUGCCAGGAAGUGGGGGAUAGCUCGCCGAAAGGCGAAUUAAUACCGCAUGUGAUUAGAGAGGACAUCCUUUCGAAAUUAAAGUCGGGGCAACCUGACGCUUCUUGUGGGGCCCGCGGCCUAUCAGCUAGUUGGUGAGGUAACGGCCCACCAAGGCUUUGACGGGUAGCUGGUCUGAGAGGACGACCAGCCACACUGGGACUGAGACACGGCCCAGACACCUACGGGUGGCAGCAGUCGAGAAUUUUUGACAAUGGGGGAAACCCUGAUCGAGCGACGCCGCGUGGAGGAUGAAGGUCUUCGGAUUGUAAACUCCUGUCAUUGGGGAACAAUGCACAGAUAUUAACUGUAUUUGUGUUGAUAGUACCCGAAGAGGAAGAGACGGCUAACUCUGUGCCAGCAGCCGCGGUAAUACAGAGGUCUCAAGCGUUGUUCGGAUUCAUUGGGCGUAAAGGGUGCGUAGGCGGCGCGGUAAGUCGGGUGUGAAAUCUCGGGGCUUAACUCCGAAACUGCAUUCGAUACUGCCGUGCUUGAGGACUGGAGAGGAGACUGGAAUUUACGGUGUAGCGGUGAAAUGCGUAGAUAUUCGUAAGGAAGACCAAGUGGCGAAGGCGGGUCUCUGGACAGUUCCUGACGCUGAGGCACGGAAGGUCAGGGGGAGCAAACGGGAUUAGAUACCCCAGUAGUCC
rnacentral:rRNA from 1 species